rnacentral:rRNA from 1 species
CGCCUGGGGAGUACGGCCGCAAGGUUAAAACUCAAAUGAAUUGACGGGGGCCCGCACAAGCGGUGGAGCAUGUGGUUUAAUUCGACGCAACGCGAAGAACCUUACCUGGCCUUGACAUGCAGAGAACUUUCCAGAGAUGGAUUGGUGCCUUCGGGAACUCUGACACAGGUGCUGCAUGGCCGUCGUCAGCUCGUGUCGUGAGAUGUUGGGUUAAGUCCCGUAACGAGCGCAACCCCUAUCCCUAGUUGCUAGCAGUUCGGCUGAGAACUCUAGGGAGACUGCCGGUGACAAACCGGAGGAAGGUGGGGAUGACGUCAGGUCAUCGUGGCCCUUACGGCCAGGGCUACACACGUGCUACAAUGGCGCGUACAGAGGGCUGCCAACUCGCGAGAGUGAGCCAAUCCCUUAAAACGCGUCGUAGUCCGGAUCGGAGUCUGCAACUCGACUCCGUGAAGUCGGAAUCGCUAGUAAUCGCGAAUCAGAAUGUCGCGGUGAAUACGUUCCCGGGCCUUGUACACACCGCCCGUCACACCAUGGGAGUGGAUUGCACCAGAAGUAGUUAGUCUAACCUUCGGGAGGACGAUUACCACGGUGUGGUUCAUGACUGGGGUGAAGUCGUAACAAGGUAACCGUA